AGCCCACCUCCCACCCGUGUUUACUGUACCUUAGUUGCUUCGGCGGGCCCGCCAUUCAUGGCCGCCGGGGGCUCUCAGCCCCGGGCCCGCGCCCGCCGGAGACACCACGAACUCUGUCUGAUCUAGUGAAGUCUGAGUUGAUUGUAUCGCAAUCAGUUAAAACUUUCAACAAUGGAUCUCUUGGUUCCGGCAUCGAUGAAGAACGCAGCGAAAUGCGAUAACUAGUGUGAAUUGCAGAAUUCCGUGAAUCAUCGAGUCUUUGAACGCACAUUGCGCCCCCUGGUAUUCCGGGGGGCAUGCCUGUCCGAGCGUCAUUGCUGCCCAUCAAGCACGGCUUGUGUGUUGGGUCGUCGUCCCCUCUCCGGGGGGGACGGGCCCCAAAGGCAGCGGCGGCACCGCGUCCGAUCCUCGAGCGUAUGGGGCUUUGUCACCCGCUCUGUAGGCCCGGCCGGCGCUUGCCGAACGCAAAUCAAUCUUUUUCCAGGUUGACCUCGGAUCAGGUAGGGAUACCCGCUGAACUUAAGCAUAUCAAUAAG
rnacentral:rRNA from 1 species